rnacentral:rRNA from 1 species
UGGAAGGGGUGUAUUUAUUAGAUAAAAAACCAACGCCCUUCGGGGCUCCUUGGUGAAUCAUAAUAACUUGACGAAUCGCAUGGCCUUGCGUCGGCGAUGGUUCAUUCAAAUUUCUGCCCUAUCAACUUUCGAUGGUAGGAUAGUGGCCUACCAUGGUGGCAACGGGUAACGGGGAAUUAGGGUUCGAUUCCGGAGAGGGAGCCUGAGAAACGGCUACCACAUCCAAGGAAGGCAGCAGGCGCGCAAAUUACCCAAUCCCGAUACGGGGAGGUCAUGACAAUAAAUACUGAUACGGGGCUCUUUUGGGUCUCGUAAUUGGAAUGAGAACAAUUUAAAUCCCUUAACGAGGAACAAUUGGAGGGCAAGUCUGGUGCCAGCAGGCGCGGUAAUUCCAGCUCCAAUAGCGUAUAUUAAAGUUGUUGCAGUUAAAAAGCUCGUAGUUGAACCUUGGGUCUGGCUGGCCGGUCAGCCUCACCGCGAGUACUGGUCCGGCUGGACCUUUCCUUCUGGGGAACCUCAUGGCCUUCACUGGCUGUGGGGGGAACCAGGACUUUUAC